GACGAACGCUGGCGGCGUGCUUAACACAUGCAAGUCGAACGAUGAUGCCCAGCUUGCUGGGUGGAUUAGUGGCGAACGGGUGAGUAACACGUGAGUAACCUGCCCCUGACUCUGGGAUAAGCGUUGGAAACGACGUCUAAUACUGGAUAUGAUCACUGGCCGCAUGGUCUGGUGGUGGAAAGAUUUUUUGGUUGGGGAUGGACUCGCGGCCUAUCAGCUUGUUGGUGAGGUAAUGGCUCACCAAGGCGACGACGGGUAGCCGGCCUGAGAGGGUGACCGGGCACACUGGGACUGAGACACGGCCCAGACUCCUACGGGAGGCAGCAGUGGGGAAUAUUGCACAAUGGGCGAAAGCCUGAUGCAGCAACGCCGCGUGAGGGAUGACGGCCUUCGGGUUGUAAACCUCUUUUAGUAGGGAAGAAGCGAAAGUGACGGUACCUGCAGAAAAAGCACCGGCUAACUACGUGCCAGCCGCCGCUGUAA
rnacentral:rRNA from 1 species